rnacentral:rRNA from 1 species
AUUGAACGCUGGCGGCAGGCCUAACACAUGCAAGUCGAGCGGAUGAAGGGAGCUUGCUCCUGGAUUCAGCGGCGGACGGGUGAGUAAUGCCUAGGAAUCUGCCUGGUAGUGGGGGAUAACGUCCGGAAACGGGCGCUAAUACCGCAUACGUCCUGAGGGAGAAAGUGGGGGAUCUUCGGACCUCACGCUAUCAGAUGAGCCUAGGUCGGAUUAGCUAGUUGGUGGGGUAAAGGCCUACCAAGGCGACGAUCCGUAACUGGUCUGAGAGGAUGAUCAGUCACACUGGAACUGAGACACGGUCCAGACUCCUACGGGAGGCAGCAGUGGGGAAUAUUGGACAAUGGGCGAAAGCCUGAUCCAGCCAUGCCGCGUGUGUGAAGAAGGUCUUCGGAUUGUAAAGCACUUUAAGUUGGGAGGAAGGGCAGUAAGUUAAUACCUUGCUGCUUUGACGUGACCAACAGAAUAAGCACCGGCUAACUUCGU